UAGGGAAUCUUCCGCAAUGGGCGAAAGCCUGACGGAGCAACGCCGCGUGAGUGAUGAAGGUCUUCGGAUCGUAAAACUCUGUUAUUAGGGAAGAACAAAUGUGUAAGUAACUAUGCACGUCUUGACGGUACCUAAUCAGAAAGCCACGGCUAACUACGUGCCAGCAGCCGCGGUAAUACGUAGGUGGCAAGCGUUAUCCGGAAUUAUUGGGCGUAAAGCGGGCGUAGGCGGUUUUUUAAGUCUGAUGUGAAAGCCCACGGCUCAACCGUGGAGGGGCAUUGGAAACUGGAAAACUUGAGUGCAGAAGAGGAAAGUGGAAUUCCAUGUGUAGCGGUGAAAUGCGCAGAGAUAUGGAGGAACACCAGUGGCGAAGGCGACUUUCUGGUCUGUAACUGACGCUGAUGUGCGAAAGCGUGGGGAUCAAACAGG
rnacentral:rRNA from 1 species